CAAUGUCUUUGAGGGGCCAAUUCUCUCACACCAGAAGUGACUUGCGGUUUUUCAAGUCGCUCCUGACACGAAAAGAGUGCUAUAGUGCUUGCUAAUAAAAACCUAUCCAGUCUUUUUAUAGAAAACAAAUGACAUCAAAUUGGGAACUAAGAAAUAAACAUGCACCAAAGUUAAUUAGUAGGAAUUCAUUUUGGCAGGAAGCUAAUUUUUGUAGGUCGUAUCCAAGCAAUCUGUAGAAUCUCAGGGGGAAGGUAAAGUAAAAUGAUGUUUGUUGUUGUUAUUCAUUCAUUUUUCUCUUGUAUCUGCUGACAGUAAAAUCAAUCAAUACUGAGCCACCAAGCUCAUCUCUGUAUCCCAUUAUCUUGUCAUCCAAAGUAAAUGCUCAACUCACUUAUUGCUAAAACUAACUUUUCUUUCUGGUCUUAAUUUCUUUUUGUUGAAAUAUGAGAUACUAUUAUGGCAUAUUUUGAAACAACGUAAGAGCGAGCCAGUGCUGAAGUGAUAAAACUAGAAUUUGGGAAAUCUGGGUUCAGGUUUCCACUCAGGUAUGAAACCUGCUUCCUCGACCCAAGCUACCUCAUGAGGCUGCUACAAAGAAAAAAUGAGGAGUAACAGAAACAUGCAUGCUGUCUUGAGUUCACUGGAGGAAAGAUGGGAUAUAAGUAUAAUCAAUGAAUAAAACUAAACUAUGAAAUAGAAAAACCCAGAAGAUCCCAAGGAAAUAAAAAUCUCUACUCACUUCUCACUUGUAAAUCAAUUAAUCCAAGCCAAAACUGGGUGGAUUCACAGUACUACAAGCAAACACGGAACAGAUGGGUUUUUGAGAUCGUGCCUCAGUUCUUGAACAGCCAUUAAAAACAAAUCAAGCUCAAUAUAAUACAAAAGGGAGUACACACCCAUGUCUGCCCACAUUCAUAGAUUUCAAUUUUGUUUUUCACCUUGUAAUUAGUUUCAUGUGGAAAAAGUAUGGGAUUUGUUUUAAAAAUGUAAAAAAAACAACCCAGAAAUAUUUUACCCACUCUGUGCAACAAAAAGGGAGCUGCUGUUGCUGUAGACUUCCACAUAGCAUAGAAAUGAGUGUCACGUCUUUGAAAAUGCAUGUAAAAUUCACUCAUACACCUAAUGAAUCUUUGGCAGUGGUAGGAGAAUUUACAGCUUGGCUUUUUCUGUAGCUCGUUUUUUUUCCCUAGGAAAAAACUGAAGGAAAUUGGCAGUUCAGGAGAGAAAACACAAGAUUAAAGGUAUUUUAUGGAAACCAUAAUGGCAACUAAAAUGGCAGUAUUGAAUUGCUUUGGAAUAACCAAGUCUUACCAAAGCUAACACAUCUUUCAUGGCUAUGUUUUUACAUCCGUGUAUUACUAAGCUUCCAGUGGUGCAGCGGGUUAAACUGCUGAGCUUGCUGAUAGAAAGGUUGGCGGUUCAGAUCUGGGGAGCAGGGUGAGCUCCCAUAGUUAGCCCCAGCUUCUGCCAACUCAGCAGUUAGAAAACAUGCAAAUGUGAGUACAUCAGUAAGUUCCACUCCGGCUGGAAGGUAACAGCACUCCAUGCAGUCAUGUCAGCCACAUGACCUUGGAGGUGUCUACAGACAACGCCGGUUCUUCAGCAUAGAAAUGGAGAUGAGCACCAAACCCCAGAGUUGGGCACAAGUCGACUUAAUGUUGGGGGAAAACCUUUACCGUUACCUAUCACUAUUAAAUAGGAACCUGUGAAAUUGCCUUAUAUUGUCAGGCCAUCAGGAGGCAGUGGCUCUCUAGAAUUUCAGAUGUUGUUUUUUUUCUAGAUCUACCUGGUCAUACCAGAGAUUGAACCUGAGACCUUAUGCAUGGAAAGAGCACAGUAUGAGCUAUAGCAUUUCCUCAACAGCUCAUUCAAGUAUCACAUGCAAAGGGUCUAAUAUAAUCUAUUGCACAUACCUCCAACACCAUUGCAACGGGAUGUCAGUUCCCAUAGAACUAAGGCCAUGGAAUACACAUCUGUCUGCUUGAAGGAUUCAACAUUAUCCAAAUUCAUUCGUGAUUCCAGGACUUCAGGAGCCAUGUAUCUUGCAGUGCCGACCUGCAUUUAGAACGCAGUUAAAAAUGCUUUUGAUGGACCAAUCAAUUCAAGAAGUUUGUGUAAACUGACUGCAAAAUAUAAUAUUAUUAUACAAGA